rnacentral:lncRNA from 1 species
CUGAGGUUAAGAGAGACAUCCAUGGAAAAACAGUAGAGGAAAUAUUUGUCCCUUUGAUUUUAUUUGCCUCUUAGAUGGCUUGCUGGUUCCUUGGCUACUGUUGGGAGCUCCAUAGUAGCCAGGAUUCAAGAGUGAUUCAGCUCUUCAGGCUAUAUCAAAGAGCAUUUUCUUACUUAGUUGCUUUCCCCUCUUUGCAUACAUACCCAAUUGCAUUACUUUCUUUCUAAGAAAUAAAAAAAAGCCUGCUGCUUUCUAUUACUUGGUUAACUUUGCAGAGUCAAGCUUACCUGGACAGGCUCUGUUCCUCCUGUCUACCUACAGUGUGGCCUGUAAAUCCCACUUGGCUGCUCCUGUGCCAGCUCGGUAACAGUGAUGGGGAUGCACAGGUGUCACGGCACAGCGGUGUGGUCCCCAGGCUGUCCUGGAACAUCCCUGGGCCUCCAGUCCCUUGAUUGCUCCUGAUUUAUGCACCACAGAGAGGAACGUGGUUUGGCUCAGAGGGAGCAGGAAUGGCGACUGAAGGAAAAAGGGACACAAGUCAUGCCUGCCUUCCAAGUGCACUGAUGGUUUGGCAGAGUGGAAGGAUGAAUAGAAAUUGCCUUCCAAGUGCAUAUGAGCUGACAACCCAAAAGGACUUCUCACUAAUGGCCAAUCUAAAGGAUUAG